rnacentral:rRNA from 1 species
AACGAACGCUGGCGGCAGGCCUAACACAUGCAAGUCGAACGCCCUAGCAAUAGGGAGUGGCGCACGGGUGCGUAACGCGUGGGAAUAUGCCCUUCACUGCGGAAUAACGUUUGGAAACGAACGCUAAUACCGCAUAAUGACUCCGGUCCAAAGAUUUAUCGGUGAAGGAUUAGCCCGCGUUAGAUUAGCUAGUUGGUGAGGUAAUGGCUCACCAAGGCGACGAUCUAUAGCUGGUCUGAGAGGAUGAUCAGCCACACUGGGACUGAGACACGGCCCAGACUCCUACGGAGGCAGCAGUGAGGAAUAUUGGACAAUGGGCGCAAGCCUGAUCCAGCCAUGCCGCGUGAGUG